CUUUGAUAGUUAUUUGGAUGAUGAGAAUUUAAAUAAAUGAAAGCUUACUAGGCAUCCUGAAAAAUGGUGAACGGACCUGAUACAUAAAGAACCCUACCGUGGACUAAUACCUCAGUCCGACGGGGCUGAAAAGUCUCAUACUAGAAGGGUAUUAAGGCGAUGAUGUUUUUGGGUGCCCAUUACUGGACGGGUUAUGGGGAUGACUGGGUUAAUUGCCAAUUUUAAUACUAGGUCCACGAGUAGAGGGAUAUCUCUAUGAACCCCCAAGGGUCUUAGUAAGUAGGUUAAAAAAGAAAUAUUAUUGAUCCUAUGCAUGAAAUUGAAAUGCCAUUUGAUUUAUUGUCUUCAUAAGUUGAUUUUAGAUAAAAAAAAAUGUAACGGUAAGUAUCGAAUAAAAAGUUUUAAAGAUAAAUGUAUUUACUUAA
rnacentral:lncRNA from 1 species